rnacentral:rRNA from 1 species
CAUGCAAGUCGAACGGAAAUCUUUUAGAUUUUAGUGGCGAACGGGUGAGUAACACGUAAGCAACCUGCCUUUAAGACGAGAAUAACAAUUGGAAACAGUUGCUAAGGCUGGAUAGGAAAUAAAAAGGAAUCUUUUUAUUUUUAAAAGACCUUUUUCGGAAGGUAUGCUUAAAGAGGGGCUUGCGUCACAUUAGUUAGUUGGUAGGGUAAAGGCCUACCAAGACGAUGAUGUGUAGCUGGACUGAGAGGUUGAACAGCCACAUUGGGACUGAGACACGGCCCAAACUCCUACGGGAGGCAGCAGUAGGGAAUUUUCGGCAAUGGAGGAAACUCUGACCGAGCAACGCCGCGUGAACGACGAAGUACUUCGGUAUGUAAAGUUCUUUUAUUGAAGAAGAAACAAUAGUGGAAAAACUAUCUUGACGUUACUCAAUGAAUAAGCCCCGGCUAACUAUGUGCCAGCAGCCGCGGUAAUACAUAGGGGGCGAGCGUUAUCCGGAAUUAUUGGGCGUAAAGGGUGCGUAGGCGGUUUAAUAAGUCUCUAGUUUAAUUUCAACGCUUAACGUUGUCCUGCUAGAGAAACUGUUUAACUAGAGUGAGAUAGAGGUAAGCGGAAUUCCAUGUGUAGCGGUAAAAUGUGUAAAUAUAUGGAGGAACACCAGAGGCGUAGCGGCUUACUGGGUCUUUACUGACGCUGAUGCACGAAAGCGUGGGGGAGCGAACAGGAUUAGAUACCCUGGUAGUCCACGCCGUAAACUAUGAGUACUAAGUGUCGGGGUUAAACUCGGUACUGAAGUUAACACAUUAAGUACUCCGCCUGAGUAGUACGUACGCAAGUAUGAAACUUAAAGGAAUUGACGGGAUCCCGCACAAGCGGUGGAUCAUGUUGUUUAAUUCGAAGAUACACGAAAAACCUUACCAGGUCUUGACAUACUCUGCAAAGCUAUAGAAAUAUAGUGGAGGUUAUCAGGGAUACAGGUGGUGCAUGGUUGUCGUCAGCUCGUGUCGUGAGAUGUUAGGUUAAGUUCUAAAACGAGCGCAACCCCUGUCGUUAAUUGCCAGCACGUUAUGGUGGGGACUUUAGCGAGACUGCCAAUGAAAAAUUGGAGGAAGGUGGGGAUUACGUCAAAUCAUCAUGCCCCUUAUGAUCUGGGCUACAAACGUGAUACAAUGGCUAUUACAAAGAGUAGCUGAAACGCGAGUUUUCGGCAAAUCUCAAAGAAAUAGUCUCAGUUCGGAUUGAAGUCUGCAACUCGACUUCAUGAAGUUGGAAUCGCUAGUAAUCGCGAAUCAGCAUGUCGCGGUGAAUACGUUCUCGGGGUUUGUACACACCGCCCGUCAAACCACGAAAGUGGACAAUACCCGAAAGCGACAGCCUAACUGCGUAAGC